CUAGAAUUCCAUUCCUCAGCGUGGAAGAGCUGUACCCUCAUCCUUAAAGUCCCCGUCUUGAGCUCACAUCCCGCUCCCAGAACUCUCUCCAAGUCACAACUACAGUACUACAUAGGGGCGAAGGGCUUUGGACGGCACCUAGAGAAUACAAACCACUCUCAUGAGGACAGAGGACGUUGAAGUGAGGGAGAGAGGUGUAUAGAGCCCAGCCUCUGCCUGAAGGAGCUUCCAGACUGGACUGGCAGGAGCAGAAGACAAAUUUCGGUGUUGGGGUCUGAGGUGGUUUCAUUGAAGCAAAAGGAUCUGGCACUGAACCCCAUGACAGAAUUGUCAAAGAGAACAAGAUCAGCGAGGUUACAGGGGCAACCUCAGAGAGCUCCUUCCUCCCUUCCACCAUGACAGGACUCAGAGAGAAGGCACCAUCUAUGGACCAGGAAAGAGCUUCUCACCAAACACUAAGUCUGCACUUGCAACCUCCAGCACUGUAAAAAAUAAAUUUCUAUUGUUUAGAAG
rnacentral:lncRNA from 1 species